CGAGCGAGAAAAGUUCUUCGGAGCUUUUCUAGCGGCGGACGGGUGAGUAACACGUGGGCAACCUGCCUCAUAGAGGGGAAUAGCCCUCCGAAAGGAAGAUUAAUACCGCAUAACUUUGCUGAAAGGCAUCUUUUAACAAUCAAAGGAGCAACCCCCUUUGAGAUGGGCCCCCGGCGCAUUAGCUAGUAGGUGGGGUAACGGCUCACCUAGGCGACGAUCCCUAGCUGGUCUGAGAGGAUGACCAGCCACACUGGAACUGAGACACGGUCCAAACUCCUACGGGAGGCAGCAGUGGGGAAUAUUGCACAAUGGGCGCAAGCCUGAUGCAGCCAUGCCGCGUGUAUGAAGAAGGCCUUCGGGUUGUAAAGUACUUUCAGCGGGGAGGAAGGGAGUAAAGUUAAUACCUUGGCGAAUUGACGUUAACUACAGAAGAAGCACCGGCUAACUCCGUGCCAGCAGCCGCGGUAAUACGGAGGGUGCAAGCGUUAAUCGGAAUUACUGGGCGUAAAGCGCACGCAGGCGGUUUGUUAAGUCAGAUGUGAAAUCCCCGGGCUCAACCUGGGAACUGCAUUUGAAACUGGCAGGCUAGAGUCUUGUAGAGGGGGGUAGAAUUCCAGGUGUAACGGUGGAAUGUGUAGAUAUCGGGAAGAACACCAAUGGCGAAGGCGGCCCCCUGGACAAAGACUGACGCUCAGGUGCGAAAGCGUGGGGAGCAAACAGGAUUAGAUACCCUGGUAGUCCACGCCGUAAACGAUGUCGAUUUGGAGGUUGUGCCCUUGAGGCGUGGCUUCCGGAGCUAACGCGUUAAGCAUCCCGCCUGGGGAGUACGGCCGCAAGGCUAAAACUCAAAGAAAUUGACGGGGGCCCGCACAAGUAGCGGAGCAUGUGGUUUAAUUCGAAGCAACGCGAAGAACCUUACCAGGUCUUGACAUCUCCUGCAUUACCCUUAAUCGGGGAAGUUCCUUCGGGGACAGGAAGACAGGUGGUGCAUGGUUGUCGUCAGCUCGUGCUGUGAGAUGUUGGGUUAAGUCCCGCAACGAGCGCAACCCUUAUUGUUAGUUGGUACCAUUAAGUUGACCACUCUAGCGAGACUGCCCGGGUUAACCGGGAGGAAGGUGGGGAUGACGUCAAAUCAUCAUGCCCCUUAUGUCUAGGGCUACACACGUGCUACAAAGGCAAGUACAAAGAGAAGCAAUACUGUGAAGUGGAGCAAAACUCAAAAACUUGUCUCAGUUCGGAUUGUAGGCUGAAACUCGCCUACAUGAAGCUGGAGUUGCUAGUAAUCGCGAAUCAGAAUGUCGCGGUGAAUACGAUCCCGGGUCUUGUACACACCGCCCGUCA
rnacentral:rRNA from 1 species